CGGGUGCACGAGGACGCUGUUCUGCGUCGGCUUCCGGGAGCACGCUGUUGUUCCUCCGCGACGGGCUGGGCCACCGGUUCCGCGGCCGCCACCGGUUCCGUGAGUGCGCCAGAUUCGUCUGUCAGCAUGGGGAUCCUGGAGAAGAUCUCCGAGAUUGAAAAGGAGAUCGCUCGGACGCAGAAAAACAAGGCCACUGAGUAUCACCUGGGCUUGCUGAAAGCAAAACUCGCCAAGUACCGGGCCCAGCUCCUGGAACCGUCCAAAUCAGCCUCAUCCAAAGGAGAAGGUUUCGAUGUCAUGAAGUCGGGCGAUGCCCGUGUAGCACUGAUUGGAUUUCCCUCUGUGGGUAAGUCCACCUUCCUGAGUCUGAUGACCUCCACAGCCAGUGAAGCUGCGUCCUAUGAAUUCACGACCCUGACGUGUAUUCCUGGGGUCAUCGAGUACAAAGGUGCCAACAUCCAGCUCCUGGACCUUCCUGGAAUUAUUGAAGGCGCAGCACAAGGGAAAGGCCGUGGCCGGCAGGUGAUUGCUGUGGCGCGCACAGCUGACGUCGUUGUCAUGAUGCUGGAUGCCACCAGGGGGGACGUUCAAAGGUCUCUGCUGGAGAAGGAGCUGGAGUCGGUGGGCAUCCGCCUCAACAAGCACAAGCCCAACAUCUAUUUCAAGCCCAAGAAAGGAGGUGGCAUCUCCUUUAACUCCACAGUCACGCUAACCCAGUGCUCAGAAAAGCUGGUGCAGCUGAUCCUGCACGAGUACAAGAUCUUCAAUGCAGAAGUGCUCUUCCGAGAAGACUGCUCCCCAGAUGAGUUCAUCGAUGUGAUCGUUGGCAACCGGGUGUACAUGCCCUGCUUGUAUGUUUAUAACAAAAUUGACCAGAUCUCAAUGGAAGAAGUGGACCGCCUGGCCCGGAAACCCAACAGUGUGGUCAUCAGCUGCGGCAUGAAGCUGAACCUGGACUCCUUGCUUGAGAUGCUUUGGGAGUAUUUGGCCCUGACCUGCAUCUACACCAAGAAGAGAGGACAGAGACCAGACUUCACAGAUGCCAUCAUCCUCCGGAAAGGGGCCUCCGUGGAGCAUGUGAUGCUGCCCUCAUAGAAGAUCUACUGUCCCAGGUGCCAUGAAUAUAUAUAAAGGCCUGCCCGGAUGCUGACGGCAGGGACCCAGAGUAGAUGAACCAGCUGUCUCCAGAGUGUGAGCACCAGCCCGGUGCUCCCCGUGCCCUCAGGACCCCGGGAGAAUCCUUGUGAUCGGGACUCUGCUUAGUAAACUUUCCCAGUAGGCUUCAUCUUGUUGGACAAGCUGAAAAAAGGGGCAUCUGUCAGGGCUAUGGUUCAGGCGGGGUGGGCAGAGGGCCACUGCCAGCCGGGUCCCAGACCUUCCUCUGAUGGCUGCGAGAAUGUUCCUAACCUGGCAGCACAGCCUGCAGCCAUGCCUAGAACUGCGUGUGGGUGGAGAUGUGUCCUUGACACAGGUCAGUGCUGUUUGAGCACCUGCCUGGGAAUUGCUACUACAUGUGCCCAGGUCCUGGGUGUGUGGCUGAGCUCAGUAGGGCUGGGCAGAGCCUCAUCCCGUUGUCUGACUCUUCUCCUCCAGUGCCACCGCAUCCACCGGUCGCUUGCCAGCCAGUUCAAGUACGCCCUGGUGUGGGGCACCAGCACCAAGUACAGCCCGCAGCGGGUGGGCCUGACCCACACCAUGGAGCAUGAGGAUGUCAUCCAGAUCGUCAAGAAGUAGUGGCGCCUGCUGGGCCUGCCCACCUGCCUGUCUCCCUGGGAGGUGAACCCAGUGGGACACCCCAAAGCCCAAACAGGAAAAAUACAAAUAUAUACACCCCAGGGAGGGGUCUCUCAAGUUUGCUGUUUGCAGAAGUUUCUUCAGUAGGCUGAUGGUGGAGAGCGUUGGGGCUGAGGAGUGAGGCUGGGGUCCUCUGCCAUGACACUGGCCCCCCAGAAGGGGGCUCUGAGUUUGGAACCCUGGGCCUGGGCCCUACCCCAUCCCCUUCAGGCCCUGAGUGAGCAGGUUGCCCACCUUCCACCCAGCUAGGGCCUAAGCAGGUUACUUGCUCUGUGCUGGGGCAGGGAGCCCGGCCUGCCUGGGUGUCUGAAGGUGGUAAUUAACUGUUGGGGCCCCUUGGCCUCUCAGCUGUCAGCUUCUCUGGCACUCAGGGAGGGGCCUCUCAGGAAAAAAAUACCUUCACACCCACACCCACAGGACCACCCCAUGGUAGAAACCAGGGUUCAGUGGCUAUAAAGGCCCAGCUAACACCUUCCAUAGUCCGAGAGGGGUCCUGUAGUGCCACCCUCGCCCAGGGCAGACCCUGUCCAGCACGAAACUCCAGGACCCAGGACCCUCACUGACACCUGGGGUGGGCACUUUGGAGUUCGGUUCUGUUUUCCAAGCGUCUGAUCUCUCGGCUCUCUGUUCUGAAAUAAAGGAUGGAAACAAUAUCUGUUCA